rnacentral:misc_RNA from 1 species
GUUGAAACAUUUGAGAUAUCUUGAUGUCUCAUGGACUGAAAUUAAAGCAUUCCCUGAUUCCAUCACCAAGCUUUACAAUUUGAGAACACUAAGACUAGUUGCAUGUACAUCGCUUAGAAAGCUUCCUGAAAAUAUUAAAAACUUGAUCAGCUUGAGGCACAUUCACUUUUCUUUUGGUCACCAGAUGCCUGCUAAUGUGGGAUGCUUAACUAAUCUGCAAACAUUGCCAUUAUUUGUUGUGGGCCCAGAUAAGGGGGGCUCCAUUCAAGAGCUAGAAUGCUUAAAUGAACUAAGAGGGAAUUUGGCAAUCAUCAAUCUUGAACAGGUCAAAGACAAACAAGAAGCUGAGAAAGCAAACCUGCAAGAAAAAACAGGAUUAUAUGCGUUGCGGUUGGCAUGGCGGUCAAGAAGAGAGGACAACUGCAAUGAUGAGGGUGUCUUGGAGGGCCUCCAGCCUCAUCCGAACAUAGAAAGCCUGGAGAUUGAGAGUUAUGGGGGUGAAAAAUUCCCAUCAUGGCUGUUGAUGAACACUUCUACUCAUGGUAAUUCCUUGCUCCUCAAUAAUUUGGUGAGACUGGAAUUGAAAUUCUGUGAGAACUGUAAACAAAUCCCUACAGUUGGACUUCUUCCUCAUCUUAAAAUUUUUAAGAUAGCUAGAUUGGACAAUGUAAAACGUAUCAGCAAUGAGUUCUACUACAGCAAUGGCAGUGAAAGCACCAACAGUGCAUGGAGACUGUUUCCUGUCUUAAAAGAAUUUUCUCUGGCUUUUAUGAAUGGUCUAGUUGAAUGGAUGGCGCCGGGAGUGGGCAGAGAAAGCUGUGCAAUUGCGUUUCCUUGUCUUGAAGACUUGACCAUCAGAUGGUGUCAUCAGUUGACAAGCAUUCCAAUAAGCUAUCUUUCAUCACUUAUAAAACUGAACAUCAAUGGCUGUGGUGCACUGAGUUGUUUAUGUGAUGAACUUCAUGCCUUCACUUCUCUUGAAGAAUUAUCAUUAUUAGAUUGUCAUAGUUUGGUGUCCAUUCCAAGCAUACAGGGCCUCACAUCUCUUAAAAAACUAAGCAUUAUAGCCUGUUAUAAUCUAGCAUCUCUUCCAAGUGGGCUACAAUCCUGCUCUUCUCUGGAGCAAUUGACUAUAACAAGAUGCACAAAGCUAACAUCAGUUCAUAAAGACUUGCAAGAACUGCGUUCUCUUGUUUAUUUAUACAUAUCAGACUGUCCAAGUUUGGCUAGCUCACCUCCAGAGGACUGCUUAAGCUGCCUCACUCGGUUGAAGCAAUUAACAAUUGGCUCUGAAGAAUUGAAGGUUUUCCUAGGUUUAGACUCAAUCCAGGACUCCCUUGAAGAAUUAGUCCUAAUAUGCGGGCAGAAUGAACUUAAGUCUUUGCCAGGUCAACUUCAAGACCUCACUGCCUUGAAGUCAUUGCAGAUUGUUAAUUUCACUGCAGUGGAAGCUUUUCCAGAGUGGUUGGGAAAACUUAAAUCUCUUGAAAAGCUUGAAAUAGGGGGAUGUAAGGAACUGAUGUAUCUACCUACAACAAUGCAAGGUCUCUCCAAAUUAAGGAGGCUGAAAAUUUAUGGCUGUCCCUUUCUUAAGGAAAGGUGUGCCAAGGACAGUGGCUCUGAGUGGUCCAAGAUU